CCUACGGGGGGCAGCAGUGGGGGAUAUUGCACAAUGGGGGGAACCCUGAUGCAGCGACGCCGCGUGGGUGAAGGAGUGCUUCGGCAUGUAAAGCCCUAUCGGCAGGGAAGAAGCAAGACGGUACCUGACUAAGAAGCCCCGGCUAACUACGUGCCAGCAGCCGCGGUAAUACGUAGGGGGCGAGCGUUAUCCGGAUUCACUGGGUGUAAAGGGAGCGUAGACGGCCAUGCAAGCCAGGGGUGAAAGCCCGGGGCCCAACCCCGGGACUGCCCGUGACACUGUGCGGCUAGAGUGCGGGAGGGGCAGGCGGAAUUCCUGGUGUAGCGGUGAAAUGCGUAGAUAUCAGGAGGAACACCGGCGGCGAAGGCGGCCUGCUGGACCGCGACUGACGUUGAGGCUCGAAAGCGUGGGGAGCGAACAGGAUUAGAUACCCCAGUAGUC
rnacentral:rRNA from 1 species